UCUCAACUUUCUCAUGGGAAUCAUAAGAGAUAUGAGACCCAGGGUUUUUUCAGUCUCUUCCCAGCUACAGUCCACAUAUUUCCUCCACAUAUGUUUGGGUGUCAAAAGACCCUUCAGAACCUUAAAUCCACCCAGUUUAUACUUGUUCCUAGGCUAUGUCGUCUUAGUCCCAGAACCUGGGAAGAUGCCACCAUACCUAGAGGAGGCCAUGAGGCUGUCACAUCUAACAUUCUGUGGAUAUGACCUGCUUAUGCGCUCUACUGUACAACCACAGGGCUCCCCAUGAGGUGAUGUCAUUGAAUUUUCCUGGCUGAAGAGUCGUCCAUUUUGUACACACAUGGGAGUUUAUUUUUUCAUCUGCAUAUGGACGCAUUCCUGAGACUUCAGAAACAUUCCAUGGAGAAUUGAGAAGAGAGUAUUUUUUGAGCCAGAAAUUGCUUCCCUGUGGAGUUUGUAUAUUCCUAGGGGCUGGUGGACAGGGGAAGUCUGACAGGCCAGACCUGGGAAGAAGUGCGUGCUGGAACCACACCCAGGGAGGGCACAGCUUCCAGGUCAGCCUCAGUGAGUACAAGCUCCGUCACCCAGCCCUGGGGAAUUUGUGGGGUAGGAGGGGGUUGGCACAGCUGUGGCUGCCCACUGCACAGACCCUGAGAGAGAUCCACAGUGUCUCCUGCUGCUCUCUCGCCAGACUGCAUUCCCUCAGUAGAGACCAUGUGAGUGGCGUCGGCCUGAAAGCCUGAAGGACAUGAGCAGAAUGUCACCCCCAUCCAAUGAAAGGAGGCGGCGGGGAGGCUGCAGAGGGCUCUGGGAGCAAAGUCCUGGGCAGCUCUUUCCACAGAGGCCAGGGAAGGAGCUGAUUGUGACUUGGGUCUCACUGGGCUGUGGGGUCCUGCUCUGGAACAAAUACACAACAUUACUAGGGAGAGAUAGGGCUUUGGAAAAAGAAGAGACAUUUUAAAUGCAAUGACAUGCUGAGGGGAUGACAGAAUACAUCAUUGAUGAGCAGAUUGAACAAGUGAAGUGUUCAACAAAGAGCCUGAAGGCAGCCAAACAGGAGAGGGAAUAUCAGGAGGGUUGAUGGCUGAUCCCAGGGAUCUGGAGGAGGAAGGAGAAAGAACCCAAGAGAAACCACAGGGUAACUGUGUCCCUAGAGGAAUGGUGAGAGAGGGAUAGGGAUAAAGCUGAGUGUUGUAGAUGGGUUGACCAGGUGGGUUUUAUUGUUGUUAACUGACUUGCAGAGAGAGAGAGAGAGAAAGAAGAGAGAGAGAGAGAGAAGAGAGAGAGAGAGAGGAGAGAGAGAGACAGAGAGAGAGAGGAGAGAGAGAGAAGAGAGAGAGAGGAGAGAGAGAGAGACAGAGAGAGAGAGGAGAGAGACAGAGAGAGAGAGGAGAGAGAGACAGAGACAGAGAGAGAGAGAGAGGAGAGAGAGAGAGAGGAGAGAGAGAGAGAGAGCACAAGAGAUUCUCCCGGGAGCUGGUGGGGCCAGGCCACACUGUCCACCCAACUCUGGUGCUUAUUCCAGUACAGAAGGAGGUGACUGUUACUCCCAGAUGGUAGGGCUGGCUGAGUGAGCACAGACUUCAGGCAGGACCCUGGAAGGGAAGACGGGGCACACAGCUGCUGGCACAGAGCCUGACACAGGAAGACACAGCCACUCUUUUAUGAUGAUGAGUGAUGGGCAUUGACAUAUCGCUGCUUUGACAUCUGAGGAGCCUAUGCUGUCUCCUCUGCUGAUACCCAGCUGUGCACUUUCUCAAGAGAAAACCUGUAUCAAUAAUCAUUAAUAAAAUGUACCUAGAUCACCUCUCUACUCAUUGCUGGAACUUUUACCUAGUGUCCUUUAUGAAAGAAAUACCUAGUGUUUUUAUGUAAGAAACUAUUUCAACAUUUCUUCAAAUUAUCUCCCGUAUUACUUGCUGAGUUUUGUAAUUAUUUUCCUAUAGAUAUGUUUGAAGUUUAUCAUUUUUAGCAAGACUAGAAUAAUAAACAUUCUGCACUACUUUUAAAAUUAUAUAAGCAAUAUAUUUGAUCUUAUUAAGUAUAAACUUGAUAAUUUUAUUAUUCAUUCCAAUAAAUUUUUAACAAUGUUUUAAUGUUAUUCAUAUGUAGUUGCCUUUAAAAUGUUAACACAUUUAUGUAAACUUUUUGUGCUAUUCUAAUAUCCUUGACCUCUUAUUUCUCAGAAACAAAUUUCUACCACAGAGAAGAAAUAUUAGACGUUAUAUCAAAAAUGGAGUAUGUUGUGAAUUUUAAAAACCUUUUAAAAUAUGGCUUUUUAACCAUUUUUUAAAUUUUUAUUUAUUUUUUUAUUAUACUUUAAGUUCUGGGAUACAUGUGCCGAACGUGCAGGUUUGUUACAUAGGUAUACACGUGCCAUGGUGGUUUGCUGCACCCAUCAACCCGUCAUCUACAUUAGAUUCUGGUCUUUCUUAUGGGGAACCUGAGUUCCUGCAUUAAAGAGGGUGGCCCAGGAGAAGCUCAAUUCAUGCUUGUUAACCAACCACAUCCAUAAGUUCUAGCCCUUUGUUCAUGUCACCACCAAUGAACUGACAGUCAUGCUGCGUCCUUUCAGUUCCCCCAGAAGAUCAAUGGAAGGUGGAUUCCAAAGAGUGGGCAAAUGAGGACCCCUUCUCUGUUACCAAGGUGACCCCAAGGAACACAAUAAAUGAAAUUCUAAGAAGAUAUAGCGUCUACACCAAGAGGCACAUGACACAACCUGGACUCUGGGCAAACCACCGGGUGCACUCACAUGAAGUGAGGGCUUAUUUGGCCUCCCCAGGAUGGACUGGAGCAUCAGUAGUGCCUGAGUUCAUCACAGGACAGAUGCUCAAGACACCCUGAUCACCAUUAGGUGGAAUUGAAGGAGCCAAAAGCGGGCGCAGUGGCUCCUCAGCAGAGACGCUCCUGAAUGUAUAGACAUGGGAACCACCUUCAGCAUCAAAAAAGGAAACAUUCUGCAUGCCCAUAUCCAGAAAAAUCCCCACUCGCUGUAACUUGCGGUCUACGAAGAGGAAAGUCAGGGGCACCGUGCUGGCAGAGAGGUGGCCUCCAGCCCUCAAACUCACAGUCCAGAAUCCAUGCUCUGUGGUCAGCUGGAUCUUCCCUUUGCGGUGAACAGAUUCUCUGCAGACUCCCAGGUCCCAUUCUGUGCUUGUUCCCACGUCCACCUCCCAGUAAUGGCGGCCACAGGUAAAGCGAGGGGAGCCCAGGACACAAAUGGACAUGUCAAAUCUCUCAGCAAGGUCUUGCCGAUUCUGUGUGAUGCACCCACUUCGGACGCUCCUGAGGUCAUCAGAAAUGAGGAGGAAGUUGUUGGCUGUGUCGCCAUCCAAGGUCAUAUCCACUGUGAAAAGAAAAAAAAGUUGCUCAGCAAAUGGACAGAAGCCAACUCCAUGCCUCUCUUCUACUUCAAAGGCCCAAAUAUCUCUUGACUUUAGUUUCUUUAAUUCCUUUCUUCCUCCAAAAUCAAAACUUUUCAUGAGGAAACUUCCCUAUUUCAAAUUCUCAUAGGUAUGCUUUGUGGCAAUACAUCACUCUUAUUCACAGGAGCAAUUCUUAUUUUACUUUAUGUCAUGUGUUUGCUUCAUUGAACUUUUCUUCAUUUCGAGUGGAGGGUCUCUGAAGGCAGACACCAUGCCCCGCUUUCUACCACCUUGAUGUGUGAACAAAUAAAUGAUAAUUAAGACAAUGCAA